UUGCGAAACCUCCGUCCGGCACGUUUCGGGCGGCGGUCGGUUUGGCGUGGUGGCCAUUCCCUGAUGAGCAGCCAAAG
rnacentral:hammerhead_ribozyme from 1 species